CGUAGGGUGCAAGCGUUGUCCGGAAUUAUUGGGCGUAAAGAGCUCGUAGGCGGUCUGUCGCGUCGGCUGUGAAACUCGGGGCUCAACCCUGAGCCUGCAGUCGAUACGGGCAGACUAGAGUGCUGUAGGGGAGACUGGAAUUCCUGGUGUAGCGGUGAAAUGCGCAGAUAUCAGGAGGAACACCGGUGGCUAAGGCGGGUCUCUGGGCAGUAACUGACGCUGAGGAGCGAAAGCGUGGGGAGCGAACAGGAUU
rnacentral:rRNA from 1 species